GCCCGGGUGGUGAAACGGGUAGACACAAGGGACUUAAAAUCCCUCGAUCAAACUGAUCGUGCCGGUUCGACUCCGGCCCCGGGCACCA
rnacentral:tRNA from 1 species